ACGGGAGGCAGCAGUGAGGAAUAUUGGUCAAUGGACGGAAGUCUGAACCAGCCAAGUCGCGUGAAGGAUGAAGGUAUUAUGUAUUGUAAACUUCUUUAGACGUAGAGAAAUAAGAGGGUCGUGACCCUUGAUGCUAGUAUACGUAGAAUAAGGACCGGCUAAUUCCGUGCCAGCAGCCGCGGUAAUACGGAAGGUCCGAGCGUUAUCCGGAUUUAUUGGGUUUAAAGGGUGCGCAGGCGGAGAUGCAAGCCAGCCGUAAAAUCGUGGGGCUCAACCCCAUUGAGCGGUUGGAACUUCAUCCCUUGAUUGCGGCAGAGGGAGGUGGAACUCGUGGUGUAGCGGUGAAAUGCAUAGAUAUCACGAAGAACUCCGAUUGCGAAGGCAGCCUCCUGGACCGUAAAUGACGCUCAUGCACGAAGGCGCGGGUAUCAAACAGGAUUAGAUACCCUGGUA
rnacentral:rRNA from 1 species